rnacentral:rRNA from 1 species
AACGAACGCUGGCGGCAGGCUUAACACAUGCAAGUCGGACGCCCUUUUCGGAGGGAGUGGCAGACGAGUGAGUAACGCGUGGGAAUCUACCCAUCACUAGGGAAUAACUCAGGGAAACUUGUGCUAAUACCCUAUACGACCGAGAGGUGAAAGAUUUAUCGGUGAUGGAUGAGCCCGCGUUGGAUUAGCUAGUUGGUGGGGUAAAGGCCCACCAAGGCGACGAUCCAUAGCUGGU